GGGCCGAGCGGGGCCGAGCCCGGCAGGUGCCCCGGGGAUGCUCCGAGCGCUCCCGCGGGGGCUCCGCGAUGCGCCGGCGGCGCGGCCGCUCACCCGAAAUCCUGGUCCAUGGACUUGAAGAAGAACUUGUAGCUGUGCACGGGCCGGUUGCUGAGGACAUUUUUGAAAUCGGCCAGCGUGACUUUCUCCGGCGGCACCGGCAGCUUCACCAGGACAGGGACAUUCACUUCUCAGUGUUCAGCUACUCUCUGUGAAGGGGUAAAUCACAGCUCAGUGACUGAAUUACCUGUCACUGGAAUGAUUUCUCUACCAGCACAAAACAGAGGAGCCAACUGUGUUAGUGGCUCACAGAAGCACUGGAUAAUCCACAACUCAACAAGGUUUAACAACACUGAGAAACCAAAACAUCAUCACCUGCCUGCUGCCAUUUCUGGUUUAGUGAAGGAAUUACAAAAUCCCAGCCACUGGAGUUCUCCAGCUGAUGUUCCUGCCACUCAUCACUGCUAAAUGGGAAUGCCUGUGUGAUCAUCAAACAGGAUAAACAGCAAGGUAAAGCUGCUUUCCUGGAAAAUCAGAUCCGUUGCCUGGAGACAAGAGAAAAGUGACAAGAUGCCCCAGCAAUACCCCAGCAGAGACCAGUAAAGCCCCACAGCAGCACCAGAGAGGGUAUUUAGGAAUGGUGAUUCACCCCAGGGAAGAGGUGCUAUGGAAUGGAGUGGGAUUUCCAGCCAGGGAAGAGAGCAGUUCCAUAUCCUGCUUUGAUCCUUCAAAUUCCUGCCCCUGCACCGUCCAUCCAAGCUGUUUCCAUCAGUGUCCCUGGAAGAACUCUGGUGCCAGCUGGGAUAGUGCUCAGGGGGUGGAAACCCUCCAAGAGCAGAAUGUGCAGCAGGAAGAACUUCGCAAGGUGUGAGUUCUGCAAGCAAAGAGGAAUCUGGGCUGGGAGUGAAAUAACAUAUUCCAGCAGGAUGUGUUAUCUUCCCUUCUGGACCUGCAAAAUUAAAUCCUGUGGAAGAGCUGCCAGCCUUCCCCUCUGAUGGAUGGUUUGAACUCCAUCUCCAGCUGCGGAUCCGCCCGUUACACAACACUUUUGGAGAGCUGCUAUUUCUCCACGGGCCCCAUGACCCUGUCAAAUAAUAAUGUCCCAACGUGGAAAGGAUAUUGGAAUCACUGGAAUAACUUAUUGAAUCCAAUCUGCACUUUGUAAAGCACUUUAGGAUGCUCUGAGAUGAAACACACUGCACAGCUCUUGGGAAGAAUUAGCUAAUGCUGGCUAAUGGCUCAGGUAGCAUCUCCAAAGAGCAAGAAAUAAAACCAACCUUAGCUGGAAACUCCAUUAAAUUCUCCUUUAUUUCUUAAACACUAGGAAUUACACAGCAAUGACAAAUGGUAAAAGUUAAGCAACAAUAAUAAUGAAAAUUAAUUCAGUUACAACAAAUUAAAAAGAAAAAAACAAACCACAAGCUUUCUGGACUAAGUCCUUCUCUCAGUCUGGAGAGGAAGCAGAGUGUGCACAGAGCUGAAAAGAGUCUAGUUCUAGUCUCAGUUUUAACCCCUUUCAAGGUCACUGCCAAACAGCCUUUCCUUGUCCCACACCAAGGGCUGACAGUCCACACAUUAUCCUAAAAGAGACUUUGAUUUCUCUGCCCUCAUUGAGCCUCAGUACUCACUGAGGAGGAACUGCUGUAAAAAUUAGGGAUUAUUACUAUUUUGACUAACUGAACAUAAAAUGCAUGUCUCAGGAAGCCAGGGAGGCUGUGAUGAGGCAAAGCCUGCAAAGUGACAGGCAAAGGAGUCUGUCAAGGUGCAACAUUUAAUUGGUACAGGGAGAACAUCAUCUCCAAUAACUCGGGCAAUGCACAUUUACCAAAGUGCUACACACUUUAAAAAGGUGUUUCUCCACCAGAGGCAAGUUACAGCCCCAGAUUAGGGAAAGAAAGGCUGAGAUGAGAGAGAGAGAGAAAACCAACCUGUCUGGCACUGCAGUGAGUCUGUGGCAGAGCAGGGACAGAGAGCAGUGGUCCUGCAACUUGAACCUUUUAAUUUUCACAUGCAAGAUCAGCUACAUGGAACUUCCCCCCGUGCCAGAGACUGACAGACUGCAAAGUGCACUGUGAAAAACCCGAGUGGCUUCUCACCACUAUUUGAGGGCAAACAGCCUUUGAUAAUCCCUCUGCAUUAAGAAAUAAACAGCCAGAACUCUUCAGUUUACUGUU